AGUGAACGCUGGCGGUAGGCCUAACACAUGCAAGUCGAACGGCAGCACAGUAAGAGCUUGCUCUUACGGGUGGCGAGUGGCGGCCGGGUGGGGAAUACAUCGGAAUCUACUUUUUCGUGGGGGAUAACGUAGGGAAACUUACGCUAAUACCGCAUACGACCUACGGGAGAAAGCAGGUGAUCUUCGGACCUGGGGGGAUUGAAUGAGCCGAUGUCGGAUUAGCUAGGUGGCGGGGGAAAGGCGCAGCCAGGCGACGAUGCGUAGCUGGUCUGAGAGGGUGGACAGCUAGCCUGGAAGUGAGGCGCGGCCCAGACUCCUACGGGAGGACGCAGUGGGGAAUAUUGGGCAAGGGGGGAAAGCCUGAUACAGCAAUACCGAGUGGGUGAAGAAGGACUUCGGGUUGGAAAGCCCUUUUGUUGGGAAAGAAGAGCAGCAGGUUCAUACGCCGCUGUUCUGACGGUACCUAACGAAUAAGCACCGGCUAACUUCGUG
rnacentral:rRNA from 1 species